UAGGGAAUCUUCCGCAAUGGGCGAAAGCCUGACGGAGCAACGCCGCGUGAGUGAUGAAGGUCUUCGGAUCGUAAAACUCUGUUAUUAGGGAAGAACAAAUGUGUAAGUAACUAUGCACGUCUUGACGGUACCUAAUCAGAAAGCCACGGCUAACUACGUGCCAGCAGCCGCGGUAAUACGUAGGUGGCAAGCGUUAUCCGGAAUUAUUGGGCGUAAAGCGCGCGUAGGCGGUUUUUUAAGUCUGAUGUGAAAGCCCACGGCUCAACCGUGGAGGGUCAUUGGAAACUGGAAAACUUGAGUGCAGAAGAGGAAAGGGGAAUUCCAUGUGUAGCGGUGAAAUGCGCAGAGAUAUGGAGGAACACCAGUGGCGAAGGCGACUUUCUGGUCGGUAACUGACGCUGAUGUGCGAAAGCGUGGGGAUCAAACAGG
rnacentral:rRNA from 1 species